rnacentral:rRNA from 1 species
AUUGAACGCUGGCGGCAGGCCUAACACAUGCAAGUCGAGCGGAUGAAGGGAGCUUGCUCCUGGAUUCAGCGGCGGACGGGUGAGUAAUGCCUAGGAAUCUGCCUGGUAGUGGGGGAUAACGUCCGGAAACGGGCGCUAAUACCGCAUACGUCCUGAGGGAGAAAGUGGGGGAUCUUCGGACCUCACGCUAUCAGAUGAGCCUAGGUCGGAUUAGCUAGUUGGUGGGGUAAAGGCCUACCAAGGCGACGAUCCGUAACUGGUCUGAGAGGAUGAUCAGUCACUCUUGAACUAAGACGCGGAGCAGACUCCUACGGGAGGCAGCAGUCGGGAAUAUUCGGCAAUGGGCAGAAGCCUAAUCCAGCCAAGCGGCGUGUGUGAAGAAGGUCUUCGGAUUGUAAAGCACUUUAAGUUGGGAGUAAGGGCAGUAAGUUAAUACCUUGCUGUUUUGACGUUACCAACAGAAUAAGCACCGGCUAACUUCGUG